GCCCGCAUGGUGUAGUGGUUUGAACAUUGGACUAAUACCCUGGAGAUCAGGCUUUGAUUCCCAGUUUGGCCA